AGCGGCUCAGCUGUGUCCGGCGCGCGGCCUCGGCGACCUUUGUCUCCUGCUGGCGCCUGCACGGGAGUGUGACCCAGGGCGCUGCAGCUGCGCUCGAGUUUAUGGGGGGCGGGGGGGGCCUGUGUGCGUGUGUGUGUGUGUGUGUGUGUGUGUAAGCGGGGAGGAGGAAGGAGAGGAGGAGACAGGAAAAGCAGGGAGCGAUGGGUGCCGCGUGCCUGUGUGUUUAUGUGUGACGGAAAGACCUAGACUGACUAUCUUUGGAGCCUGUUACUGCGCGCUUCCGUGUGUGUGUUUGUGUGCGUGAGAGUGAGAGAGGGGCGAGGGAAGCGGAGAGAAGGAAUGAUGCCCCCCACCCCGUGCCUGUGCGUUUGCGUCCGGGAGAGAAACUGUCUCUACGCGUAUCUUGCAGAAGUGCGUGAGUGAAGGAGGAGGAACAGAAAUAGAUGUGUGUCCGUGUAUUUGUAUGGUGUGUCAUCUGUACAUUCCGGGGCCUGUAGUACAGGCACGUUGGUGUGGUAGGAAGAUACUUUGUGUCCCUCUUGUAAACAAGUGGAGACCAAAUCUCUGUGUCUGUGUGGUGUAGUGUGUGCAUGUGUAUGUGCACACACAAGAGGGGCGGGGCUGUGAUUUGGUAUAACUGUGUAUGUAGCCCAGUUUGGGAGAGAGUGUGGUGAAAGUGUGUAUGUGUGUAUCUGUGUGACUUUGCGAUAUUUAUGUUGUGUUGAGAAAGAGGAACUAGUGUGUAGGGGGCGUAGUGAGUGUAUGUUCAGGAAAGACAAAGACAUCCCGGAGGAGGUGGGGUUUUGGGGCUUUGAAGUAUGUAUAAGAGUUCUUGAAGCCAGAAAGAAAGACCUGGGGAACCUUGCCUAACAGCCAAGGUUGGGGUGGGGUGGUGGGGAGGGAGUUGAAUCCACUGGGGACAGAGGUGGAUUCUGGGAGAGAGGGCGCCUGCUGUGGGGAGGGACUGUAGGAGCCCCUGGCAGCAACUCCAGUUCAGGGGCUGGCUCAGAGUGACUCUGGGCAUGCGUGGGAGAGAAGGUCCAGGACCCAGUGCCAGGUUCCAAAGGGGACUGUCUGCUCCUGGGCAGUGUGUGUGGCAACCUGGAGGACGGGGAGGUGGCUCUGUAGAUACAGCUGUCUCCCCACUUCCAUUCGAAGGUGCCCUGGAUUCUUCAGUGGGGCACUUGUCAAAAUUCACAAAGCAUGUUGAGUGCAGCAGGACACCUGGUGGGGAGGGAAGGGUGGGCUAUGCCCUAAAGGUGACCAAUCUCUGGGCCUGGAGACCUGGAUCCUCCCUCCCUCCAUGCUGGAGGACUGGUGACUUAUACCAUUGGCUGCCCAGCCCUGGGCUCACUGCAGAUUCCCGACCAAGUGUCUUCCUCGGGAUUGCAACCUGGUGCCUGGAAGGAGGUUCUGAGAUCCAGGGAGUCAUGAAAAUGGAACCCAGUUAUCCUGGCUCUCCAGCAGUGUGAUUCUGGAGGAUUCCCUUCUCUCUGAGCCCCGGUUUUCUCCUCUGUAAAAUGGGGUUUGUAAUUCCUGCCUACCUCACCGUGCUGAUGUGAAGAUUUCACGCGUUAAUGUACACGUGGGCCCUUUGUAAGCAACAAACCACUGGAAAAUGUUAAGCAUUGAUCCAUUUAUGUGAAAUUCAAAAAUAAGCAAAACUAAUCUACGUUGGCAGAGGUCAGGAUAGUGUUGCCUUCGGGGAGGGAUCACUGGAAAGGGGGCUCAGGGGGCCUUCUGGGUGCUGGCGAGCUGGUUUGGGGAUACAGGGGCUGGGUACAUGGUGUGCUCAGUUUGUGAAGGCUCCUUAGGAUCUUUGUUCGGCUAUGUGUGUUCUACUCCAACAACAUGUUCCAAAGAGGAAAAUGGAAGGUUAUGUAUCCUGACCACGUUUCUUCCCUCACACAAGGAGCAUUCUGAAAAGCUCUAUCAGCGAGGCGGGAACCAGGCUGAGGCUUGGGGAGACACGGUGAACAAGAUGUGAUCCUGGCUUGUGAAGAAAACGGAGGAAGGAGGUCGUGGCUUUGUGGCGUCUGAAAGGGGCAUGUUGGCGGGGGGAGGAGCUUGCCCCAAACCACUCCUUGGGCCGGCAGCAGAAGCAGGACGAGAACGAGAACGGAAGCCUCCCGAUGUGGUGGCUGUGUCUCUUCCAUUGUACCAGGCUGCCCCCUGAGGCUGUCCCUGGGCCUAUGCUGCCCGGGGCAAAACAGAGCUGAACUGAAACUACAGUCUAGAGCUCCUGGGGGGAUCACCAAACUCUCCAGGAACAAACUGCCCCCCCGACGCACCAGCCUGUCGGAGAGGAUGUCCUCAGGAAGGCAUCGGAAGGAGCCCAUGAGGAGGCAGGUGGAGAGGGUGCAGGCAGAGCUCAUCAGACCCUAUUAAACUGUUUCUUGACCCACCCAACCCUGCAGAGAGGUUACCUGGGCUGGGGCCUGCCUGGGGAUGUCCCAGCCUGACCCCCUUCCCUUUGGGGCACUAGCUACUCUGAUUCAACUGGACGAUUUGAGUUUCUGUGAGUGAUCAGAGUCCAUUAAGUCCUGACCAACAAGAGCCGCCAUUUGUGAAGUGUGUGCCGGGCCCCAGACUGGGCACUCUACCUGCUUUAAAUACAGGACCAAUGGCAUAUAUUUUGGAUACUAACAUCCCUGCUUUCGCUUGACUUUUUCUACUAUUUUCUCCCUUCGCCCUGAUCUCCUUACCUAAUGUCAAAAUAAAAUAAAAUAAAUCUGUUUUUUUCUGAUUUCAAAUAUAAUGAAUACACACUCACUCAAAAUAAUGUAAACAAUACAUAAAUGAAUACAAUAGAAAAAAGUCCCCCAUAGUCCCAAUCCUCAGAUGUUAACCACUGCUCACUCCUUGACGUGAUUCGCAUGGAGC
rnacentral:lncRNA from 1 species